AACGCUAGCUACAGGCUUAACACAUGCAAGUCGAGGGGCAGCAUGGUCUUAGCUUGCUAAGGCCGAUGGCGACCGGCGCACGGGUGAGUAACGCGUAUCCAACCUGCCUUACACUCUUGGACAGCCUUCUGAAAGGGAGAUUAAUACAAGAUGUUAUCAUGAGUAAGCAUUUUCGCAUGAUUAAAGGUUUACCGGUGUAAGAUGGGGAUGCGUUCCAUUAGAUAGUAGGCGGGGUAACGGCCCACCUAGUCUUCGAUGGAUAGGGGUUCUGAGAGGAAGGUCCCCCACAUUGGAACUGAGACACGGUCCAAACUCCUACGGGAGGCAGCAGUGAGGAAUAUUGGUCAAUGGACGAGAGUCUGAACCAGCCAAGUAGCGUGAAGGAUGAAGGUUCUAUGGAUUGUAAACUUCUUUUAUACGGGAAUAAACGAAUCCACGCGUGGAUUUUUGCAUGUACCGUAUGAAUAAGGAUCGGCUAACUCCGUGCCAGCAGCCGCGGUAAUACGGAGGAUCCGAGCGUUAUCCGGAUUUAUUGGGUUUAAAGGGAGCGUAGAUGGGUUGUUAAGUCAGUUGUGAAAGUUUGCGGCUCAACCGUAAAAUUGCAAUUGAUACUGGCAGUCUUGAGUACAGUUGAGGUAGGCGGAAUUCGUGGUGUAGCGGUGAAAUGCUUAGAUAUCACGAAGAACUCCGAUUG
rnacentral:rRNA from 1 species